CCUACGGGUGGCUGCAGUGGGGAAUAUUGGACAAUGGGCGAAAGCCUGAUCCAGCCAUGCCGCGUGUGUGAAGAAGGCCUUCGGGUUGUAAAGCACUUUCAGUGGGGAAGAAAGCCUUGGGGCUAAUACCCUCGAGGAAGGACAUCACCCACAGAAGAAGCACCGGCUAACUACGUGCCAGCAGCCGCGGUAAUACGGAGGGUGCGAGCGUUAAUCGGAAUUACUGGGCGUAAAGCGCGCGUAGGCGGUCUGAUAAGCCGGUUGUGAAAGCCCCGGGCUCAACCUGGGAACGGCAUCCGGAACUGUCAGGCUAGAGUGCAGGAGAGGAAGGUAGAAUUCCCGGUGUAGCGGUGAAAUGCGUAGAGAUCGGGAGGAAUACCAGUGGCGAAGGCGGCCUUCUGGACUGACACUGACGCUGAGGUGCGAAAGCGUGGGUAGCAAACAGGAUUAGAUACCCGUGUAGUC
rnacentral:rRNA from 1 species